rnacentral:piRNA from 1 species
UAAUCUGUGUUUCUCGGAGUCUCUUCGCUGU